rnacentral:tRNA from 1 species
GCCCAGGUGGUGGAAUUGGUAGACACGCCACUUUGAGGGGGUGGUGCCGGUUUCGGCGUGCAAGUUCGACUCUUGUCCUGGGCA